rnacentral:lncRNA from 1 species
CAAGCACAAAAUCGUAAUCAUCUAAUUGGAUUACCUCGAAUUCUUCCUUGCUCUUCCAUUCGCCGAUUUGUAGUUCCACAUCACGAACUACUCCCACAGUUGGGGCUUUCUCAGAAGUUGCUACCUUGAUCUUCUUAUUCGAUUUCCUAAUCGACAGACCAAGCUUCUUCGCAGCCUUUUCCGACAUGAACAAGUCCAAUGCUCCCGUAUCAAUAAGAGCACUCCGCUUC